rnacentral:rRNA from 1 species
GACGAACGCUGGCGGCGUGCCUAAUACAUGCAAGUCGAGCGAGCGUGCCUGGAUGAUUUUAGUGCUUUCACUGCAUCAAACUAGAUACUAACAAGCGGCUGACGUGUGUGUAACACGUGGGUAACCUGCCCAAGCGACUGGUAUAACACCUGGAAAUUUUUGCUAAUAUCGUUUAACAACACUAGACGCAUGUGUAGAGUUUUAUAGAUGGUUCUGCUAUCACUCUUGUAUGGACCUGCGGUGCAUUAGCUAGUUGGUAAGGUAACGGCUUACCAAGGCAAUGAUGCAUAGCCGAGUUGAGAGACUGAUCGGCCACAUUGGAACUGAGACACGGCCCAAACUCCUACGGGAGGCAGCAGUAGGGAAUCUUCCACAAUGGACGAAAGUCUGAUGGAGCAACGCCGCGUGAGUGAAGAAGGGCUUCGGAUCGUAAAGCUCUGUUGGUAGUGAAGAAAAAAAGAGGAAGUAACUGGGCUUUACUUGACGGUAAUUAAUUAGAAAGUCACGGCUAACUACGUG